CCCUUAGAUGUUCUGGGCUGUACGCGUGUUACAAUCGGGAGUACAACAAGAUUGCAAAUCCUAGUGGAUGAGUGGUUCUUCGAAAUUUUCUGAAGACUGGGAUAGUUGAUUGAAAUUAUUCAACUCAAACGAGGAAUUCCUUGUAAUUGUAAUUCAUUAUAUUGUAAUGAAUACGUCCCUGCCCUUUGUACACACCGCCCGUCGCUCCUACCGAUUGAACGAUCCGGUGAAUUAUUUGGAGUAGCUCUGGAAGUUGCAGAACUUCCUAUGUCACGAAAUUUUGUAAACCUUAUCGUUUAGAGGAAGGAAAAGUCGUAACA
rnacentral:rRNA from 1 species